UAUGAGUUGUAAUUAUUACUCUACUGAACCGUACUUCAUGCCACCACUUAACAUCUAAAACUAAACAUAUAUUGAAUUUUGAAAUUAUUCCAUCUCAACUGUUAUCUCUCUCCCUGGUUAAAUUUAUUUUCUUAUUUCUUCUAGAUCUUUGAACAAAAAAAAUCUUCUUCAAGAUCUAUUCGUGUUAUCCUCUACAAAUCCAGUUUUAGAUUCAACUCCCCAAACUACAUUCAUCUCCCUAUCAUCAGAUCCGCCAUGUUUCGUUUCUAAAAAGAAGAAACCAUAGACUCCGUCAAGUCCCAUCUCGAUAAUUGCCACCUCCUCACCGCCAUCAAAUACACAACCUCACCGUCAAGCAGCUCCAAGACCUUUAAACCCGGUCCUGUUCUGUCCAUUCACAGGCACUAGAUUACCUUUUGUCUGUAUCCUCUCUUUCUCUCUGAUAUGGGCAACAAAAACGCGAGAGACUCUCGAAGCCAACCACAACCCAUCUCUGUUCGAAGACAACGAAUGUGCUGAGAUUAACUCUCGUUAACAACCCAUGUCUUCUUCCUCCGCAUCUCCUCCUGAGAUCAUGGGUCUAUCUCUUCCUCAGACCCUUGUGCUACUCAAUCUACUCUCAUGUUUUUUCCUCAGGUGUGCUCUUUUCCGAUUUAUGAUGGGCAUGGUGGUUCUUUAGCUGCAUAGUUUUCUAAGAAGCAUCUUCACCUUGACGGUUUUCAGCUGGGUUACUACGUGAGUUGAAUUUCUAUAUGAUUGGGAAAGAUAAAAGGACCGAACCUUUUGAAGGGCUCUGAAGCUAGAUAUGACUCAGACUCAUCAAACAGAGCUCAACUUUUUUACCAAGAUUGAACAGCUUACACAGAUGCCUCGAAAAUUAGAGAAGGACACACAAGGGAAAAACAUGAAAAUUGUGGUUUGGUGAUUGUGUAUGACAAUUGUAUCCGUAUUUAAUAUCAUAUCCUAAUAACUAAGUGGAUGUGUAGUUGUUAUCCAACUAUCAUUGAGUUUAUACUUGCAUUUCCCAAAUAUCGAGAUACUAUUGUUAAUAUCCGGUUUUAAUCCUUCUGA